rnacentral:rRNA from 1 species
AGAGUUUGAUCCUGGCUCAGAACGAACGCUGGCGGCAGGCUUAACACAUGCAAGUUGAACGGGAUUUGUAUGGUGCUUGCACCAUGUAAUGAGAGUAGCGCACUGGUGAGUAACACGUGGGAACAUACCUUGAAGUGGGGGACAACAGUUGGAAACGACUGCUAAUACCGCAUAAUCCCUGAGGGGGAAAGAUUUAUCGCUUUAAGAUUGGCCCGCGGAAGAUUAGGUAGUUGGUGGGGUAAAGGCCUACCAAGCCGACGAUCUAUAGCUGGUCUGAGAGGACGAACAGCCACAUUGGAACUGAGACACGGUCCAGACUCCUACGGGAGGCAGCAGUGAGGAAUAUUGGGCAAUGGAGGAAACUCUGACCCAGCCAUGCCGCGUGAGUGAAGAAGGUUUUCGAAUUGUAAAGCUCUUUCGGAUGGGACGAUGAUGACGGUACCAUCUAAAGAAGCCCCGGCAAACUUCGUGCCAGCAGCCGCGGUAAUACGAAGGGGGCAAGCGUUGUUCGGAAUUACUGGGCGUAAAGGGUGUGUAGGCGGAUUUGUAAGAUAGUGGUGAAAUACCUGAGCUCAACUUAGGAAUUGCCAUUAUAACUAUAGAUCUGGAGUGACAGAGAGGAUAUUGGAAUACCCAGUGUAGAGGUGAAAUUCGUAGAUAUUGGGUAGAACACCAGUGGCGAAGGCGAGUAUCUGGCUGUCAACUGACGCUGAGGCACGAAAGCAUGGGGAUCAAACAGGAUUAGAUACCCUGGUAGUCCAUGCUGUAAACGAUGAAUGCUAGUUGUCGGCAAAAGCCGGUGACGCAGUUAACGCGAUAAGCAUUCCGCCUGGGGAGUACGGUCGCAAGAUUAAAACUCAAAGGAAUUGACGGGGACCCGCACAAGCGGUGGA